rnacentral:lncRNA from 1 species
AUUUAUCUGACGUCUCCAAGCCAGAUCUUUGUUUCGGCAAAAUCGUGACCGGGCAAGUUGGCGCGAAAACCCCCAAGUGACUGACUUUGCUUCUGGACUGACUGGACUGCUUCUGAGUGUUGCUCUCGAAGGAGCCUGGAGGAAACUUACUGUGACACACUUGGCAAUAAGUGUAUCAGUUUCUUUAUUUUUGUGUAGGAGAUGAUUUAAGAGAAAGCACA